GAGUUUGAUCAUGGCUCAGAUUGAACGCUGGCGGCAGGCCUAACACAUGCAAGUCGAGCGGAUGACGGGAGCUUGCUCCUUGAUUCAGCGGCGGACGGGUGAGUAAUGCCUAGGAAUCUGCCUGGUAGUGGGGGACAACGUUUCGAAAGGAACGCUAAUACCGCAUACGUCCUACGGGAGAAAGCAGGGGACCUUCGGGCCUUGCGCUAUCAGAUGAGCCUAGGUCGGAUUAGCUAGUGUGGGU
rnacentral:rRNA from 1 species